rnacentral:rRNA from 1 species
ACGCUCGACACCUACGGGAGGCCGCAGUGGGGAAUAUUGGGCAAUGGGCGAAAGCCUGACCCAGCAACGCCGCGUGAGGGAAGAAGGUUUUCGGAUUGUAAACCUCUGUCCUCAGGGACGAAGGACGUGACGGUACCUGAGGAGGAAGCCCCGGCUAACUACGUGCCGGCAGCCGCGGUAAUCUGAGCGGGCUGGCAAGGC